rnacentral:rRNA from 1 species
AGUUGCAGCCUACAAUCCGAACUGAGAAUGGUUUUAUGGGAUUGGCUAGACCUUGCGGUUUUGCAGCCCUUUGUACCAUCCAUUGUAGCACGUGUGUAGCCCAGGUCAUAAGGGGCAUGAUGAUUUGACGUCAUCCCCACCUUCCUCCGGUUUGUCACCGGCAGUCACCUUANAGUGCCCAACUGAAUGCUGGCAACUAAAAUCAAGGGUUGCGCUCGUUGCGGGACUUAACCCAACAUCUCACGACACGAGCUGACNACAACCAUGCACCACAUGUCACUCUGUCCCCCGAAGGGGAAAUUCCUAUCUCUAGGAGUGUCAAAGGAUGUCAAGACCUGGUAAGGUUCUUCGCGUUGCUUCNAAUUAAACCACAUGCUCCACCGCUUGUGCGGGCCCCCGUCAAUUCCUUUGAGUUUCAGCCUUGCGGCCGUACUCCCCAGGCGGAGUGCUUAAUGCGUUAGCUGCAGCACUAA